rnacentral:rRNA from 1 species
GACGAACCGUACGAACGUUAUUCGGAAUCACUGGGCUUAAAGGGUGCGUAGGCUGCGCAGCAAGUUGGGUGUGAAAUCCCUCGGCUUAACCGAGGAACUGCGCCCAAAACUGCUGUGCUCGAGGGAGACAGAGGUGAGCGGAACUUAGGGUGGAGCGGUGAAAUGCGUUGAUAUGUGGAGGAACACCGAUGGCGAAGGCAGCCCCCUGGGUUAACACUGACGCUCAUGCACGAAAGCGUGGGGAGCAAACAGG